rnacentral:rRNA from 1 species
GAAGGAUAAGAGUUUGAUCCUGGCUCAGGACGAACGCUGGCGGCGUGCCUAACACAUGCAAGUUGAGCGGAGAUAUAUGGAGCUUGCUUUAUAUAACUUAGCAGCGAACGGGUGAGUAACACGUAGAUAAUCUAUCCUAUACUGGGGGAUAGCCCGAUGAAAGUUGGAUUAAUACCGCAUAUAGCUAUAUAGUUGCAUGAUUAUGUAGUGAAAGAUUUAUUGGUAUAGGAGGAGUCUGCGGCACAUUAGCUAGUAGGUGAGGUAAAGGCUUACCUAGGCGACGAUGUGUAGCUGGUCUGAGAGGAUGAACGGCCACAAUGGAACUGAGACACGGUCCAUACUCCUACGGGAGGCAGCAGUGGGGAAUAUUGCACAAUGGGGGAAACCCUGAUGCAGCAACGCCGCGUGAGUGAAGAAGGUUUUCGGAUUGUAAAGCUCUGUUAGCAGGGAAGAGGAAGGACGGUACCUGCAGAGGAAGCCACGGCUAACUACGUGCCAGCAGCCGCGGUAAUACGUAGGUGGCAAGCGUUGUUCGGAAUAACUGGGCGUAAAGGAUGCGUAGGCGGUUAAACAAGUUAUAUGUUAAAUAUAUAGGCUUAACCUGUAGAAAGCAUAUAAAACUGUUUAACUAGAGUGCAGGAGAGGUAAGUGGAAUUCCUAGUGUAGCGGUGAAAUGCGUAGAGAUUAGGAAGAACACCAGUGGCGAAGGCGACUUACUGGACUGUAACUGACGCUGAGGCAUGAGAGCAUGGGGAGCAAACAGGAUUAGAUACCCUGGUAGUCCAUGCUGUAAACGAUGGGUACUAGGUGUGGGUUGUGAAUAACAAUUCGUGCCGUCGCAAACGCAAUAAGUACCCCGCCUGAGGAGUACGAUCGCAAGAUUAAAACUCAAAGGAAUUGACGGGGACCCGCACAAGCA